UACGGGGGGGGUAAGCGUUGUUCGGAAUUACUGGGCGUAAAGAGCUCGUAGGCGGCCAACUAAGUCGGACGUGAAAUCCCUCAGCUUAACUGGGGAACUGCGUCCGAUACUGGAUGGCUUGGAUUUGGGAGAGGGAUGCGGAAUUCCAGGUGUAGCGGUGAAAUGCGUAGAUAUCUGGAGGAACACCGGUGGCGAAGGCGGCAUCCUGGACCAAUAUUGACGCUGAGGAGCGAAAGCCAGGGGAGCAAACGGG
rnacentral:rRNA from 1 species